rnacentral:rRNA from 1 species
AGAGUUUGAUCCUGGCUCAGGACGAACGCUGGCGGCGUGCCUAAUACAUGCAAGUCGAGCGAACUGAUUAGAAGCUUGCUUCUAUGACGUUAGCGGCGGACGGGUGAGUAACACGUGGGCAACCUGCCUGUAAGACUGGGAUAACUUCGGGAAACCGAAGCUAAUACCGGAUAGGAUCUUCUCCUUCAUGGGAGAUGAUUGAAAGAUGGUUUCGGCUAUCACUUACAGAUGGGCCCGCGGUGCAUUAGCUAGUUGGUGAGGUAACGGCUCACCAAGGCAACGAUGCAUAGCCGACCUGAGAGGGUGAUCGGCCACACUGGGACUGAGACACGGCCCAGACUCCUACGGGAGGCAGCAGUAGGGAAUCUUCCGCAAUGGACGAAAGUCUGACGGAGCAACGCCGCGUGAGUGAUGAAGGCUUUCGGGUCGUAAAACUCUGUUGUUAGGGAAGAACAAGUACGAGAGUAACUGCUCGUACCUUGACGGUACCUAACCAGAAAGCCACGGCUAACUACGUGCCAGCAGCCGCGGUAAUACGUAGGUGGCAAGCGUUAUCCGGAAUUAUUGGGCGUAAAGCGCGCGCAGGCGGUUUCUUAAGUCUGAUGUGAAAGCCCACGGCUCAACCCGUG